AGAGAUCAAACCAGCAUCCUCCUGGAUGCUAGCUGGGUUCGUUAACCCCUGAGCCACGACAGGAACUCCUCAGACGCAAGUUUUAAAUCAAACUUAGCUUUUGCUGAAUUCUCAAUAUACAUGCUUUCAAGGAUUGUGUAUGCAUUAGAGGUUUAUUAAAUACUGAGAUUCAGUGAAUACUGUAUUGCCAGCAUUUAGGGCAAUUGGAUAUAUUUGUACCAGUUUCUGGAGGUUUUUUUUUUUUUUCAGGGGUCCUCAGAUGCUGACUCAGAGGCUAGAAAUGUCAGAAUCAUUUUGAAAAAAUACAUAAAAUACAGCUUUGUAGUUCUCUCCCCUGAAGAUUCUGAUUCAAAGUGUCUGAGAGUCUCUGGACAUCUGCAUUUUCAUAAGUGCCUUGAGAUAUAUUGCAGACAGAGAGGAUGGAAGUGUUCUUCCCACACUACUCCUUGUUGGACAGUGGAGUGGAAAUCAUCUGCCAUCCAUGGAGACACCAGGAGUUUGGUGGUAAGUGUUCUCCCUCCAAACACUAUUGAUUUACUUACCAGUGAUAGUUUAAAGAUCAAACUUUGGAGUUCCCAUCGUGGCGCAGUGGUUAACGAAUCCGACUAGGAACCAUGAGGUUGCGGGUUCGGUCCCUGCCUUGCUCAGUGGGUUAACGAUCCGGCGUUGCCGUGAGCUGUGGUGUAGGUUGCAGACGCGGCUCGGAUCCAGCGUUGCUGUGGCUCUGGCGUAGGCCAGUGGCUACAGCUCUGAUUCGACCCCUAGCCUGGGAAUCUCCAUAUGCUGGGGGAGCGGCCCAAGAAAUAGCAACAACAACAACAACAACAACAAAACAAAGACAAAAAACAAAACAAAACAAAACAAAAAAAUAAAGAUCAAACUUUAACAAAGUGCUUAUAUUCA
rnacentral:lncRNA from 1 species